rnacentral:rRNA from 1 species
CAGCCCUUGACAUGCCAAGCUACCUGCAGAGAUGCAGGGUUCCCUUCGGGGACUUGGACACAGGUGCUGCAUGGCUGUCGUCAGCUCGUGUCGUGAGAUGUUGGGUUAAGUCCCGCAACGAGCGCAACCCUCGCCCUUAGUUGCCAGCAUUCAGUUGGGCACUCUAAGGGGACUGCCGGUGAUAAGCCGAGAGGAAGGUGGGGAUGACGUCAAGUCCUCAUGGCCCUUACGGGCUGGGCUACACACGUGCUACAAUGGUGGUGACAGUGGGCAGCGAGCACGCGAGUGUGAGCUAAUCUCCAAAAGCCAUCUCAGUUCGGAUUGCACUCUGCAACUCGAGUGCAUGAAGUUGGAAUCGCUAGUAAUCGCGGAUCAGCAUGCCGCGGUGAAUACGUUCCC